UACGGAGGGGGCUAGCGUUGUUCGGAAUUACUGGGCGUAAAGCGCGCGUAGGCGGCUUUGUAAGUCAGAGGUGAAAUCCCGGGGCUCAACUCCGGAACUGCCUUUGAAACUGCAUCGCUUGAAUCCGGGAGAGGUGAGUGGAAUUCCGAGUGUAGAGGUGAAAUUCGUAGAUAUUCGGAAGAACACCAGUGGCGAAGGCGGCUCACUGGACCGGCACUGACGCUGAGGCGCGAAAGCGUGGGGAGCAAACAGG
rnacentral:rRNA from 1 species